CUCCCCUACUGAGCACCUUGUGACCCCCACUCUGCCCGCCAGAGAACAACCCCCCUUUGACUGUAAUUUUCCUUUAUCUACCCAAAUCCUAUAAAAUGGCCCCACCCUUAUCUCCUUUCGCUGACUCUCUUUUCGGACUCAGCCCGCCUGCACGCAGGUGAAAUAAACCACCUUGUUGCUCAUACAAAGCCUGUUUGGUGGUCUCUUCACACGGACGCGCAUGAAACCUACCUCAGGUGAUCCGCCCACCUCAGCCUCGCAAAGUGCUGGGAUUACAGGUGUGAGCCACAGCACCCGGCCGAUGAAUACUUUCAAAGGGCUCAUGGUACAGUUGAGGCAGUGAGGUAAUGCACAUAAAUAACAGAAGAAAACCAUUCAAGGAAUCUACCUUAUGAAUAAGAGUACCAAGUAUUGAAUAACGUUGCAAAGAAUGAGUUUAUUGCUGUGUAUAGCCUCUCCAGGGACAUCUUUUUAAAUUCUGAGCUCCUGAUGACACAAUAGAAAGCUCUGGCCAUGGACAAAUUCUGCCCUAGCUGGAAUGACCCAGAUCUUGUCCGUCUUGGUUUGGGGUCAAAGUAUGUUUUGAAGGAUUCAGCCUUUUCACUGAAAAAGAAAGCACUGUCAGUCCUAUUUCAGCCUCAUUUUAAUUUUUAUGCAUUAUGAAACUUUAUAAAAAUCUAAUUUAUCAUUUUAUCUCAGGGAGUUUGGGGCCAGUUCAUCCCUGGAAGAAUCAAAUGUUUUCCUCAUUAUGGGAAUGAGAGGUAUGCUCAAGCAGCAUUUGUCAACCGAAACCUAUGGGCUCCAACCAGAAAUCAAGUUUCCACUGGUUUCCGCCAGGUUGUUCUCUUUACAGUUACCAUUUCGCCCACGGGUUAAAAUAAUCAAGAUAAAGGGAAAAGUGCAAAUGGGUACAUAUAACAAGAUAAAACAAAGGCUUAAUACGUCACUUGUCGAAAUGGAAAAUGAGGCUCAUAUGUCUUAUUUUAAUGAGUCCUUUCUAAAUUUCUCUCCUGUGCCGUCCUUUUCUCCUUUCUCAAGGCUAUAGGGCCUCCAAGCCCCAUCUCCUCCUCCCUCCUAUUCAAACCUGCUUGCAGGACAGCCAUCAGACUUAAGAUGAGAUAUUCCCUCUUGGUAGUCUGGUGUGCUUUGAAACCUUCUCUCUCUUUAGGGACCCAAAAAUAUCGUAUCUCCGGUGAAAGGUCAUAAAGGCAUCUUCCAGGCAUGGGAUCCUGUCAAGGGCCCUGAAAUUACUUCAGGGCGGGAUGUCACCUAUUAGUUUGACCAACUCUUCCUGCAGAAAGUGAGGGGCAGUGUGGUGAGGACAAGAAGCUGACACUAACAGGUGGCUUACAGGAAAGAGGUGACUUCAGAAAUGUGUUACUUACCUAGAUUUCUUCGCCUGCUAUUGAAAAUAAAGAAUAUUUCUGCUCCAAUGGUGUGCUGGAACUUCCACGUAGGACUUCUGGAUUCCUACAAAAGAACUACCAUCUGAAAGUACUGGUAAAAAUCAAUGCUUCUGUGGAAGAAUGAUGAUAUAAAGCUCCUAUUCUGCCAUCUUGCUAACAUCACUCUCUAAAGUUACUUUUAAAGGAAUAAAAUAUUUUAGUAUCUAUUUUAGCCCUGACCCUGGUAGACUUUGUUUCCUCAUUUUAUGUUCCAUGCACUACCUCAUUCCCUCUUUGCCCAUUCUGAAAUUUUAUAAUCCCUUUAAACUCCCCAUGUGUACCUAAGCAUCAGAAUUUUUCAAAAAGUCACAGAAAAUUAACAUAAAAAAAUAAAUUUAUUUUGAGUCUGAAAUACUGAAGAACAA
rnacentral:lncRNA from 10 species